UGAGGAAUAUUGGUCAAUGGAGGAAACUCUGAACCAGCCAAGUCGCGUGAAGGAAGAAUGUCCUAAGGAUUGUAAACUUCUUUAGCGAGCGAGUAAGGACUUCCACGUGAUGGGAGUUUGAAAGUAGCUCGAGAAUAAGUAUCGGCUAACUCCGUGCCAGCAGCCGCGGUAAUACGGAGGAUACGAGAGUCAUCCGGAUUUAUUGGGUUUAAAGGGUGCGCAGGUGGUCCUGCAAGUCAGUGGUGAAAAGCUGAGGCUCAACCUCAGCCUUGCCGUGGGAGCUGCAAGAAUUGAGAGUACAUGAUGUGGGCGGAGUGCGUAGUGUAGCGGUGAAAUGCAUAGAUAUUACGCAGAACUCCGAUUGCGAAGGCGGCUCACAAAGGUAUAUCUGACACUGAGGCACGAAAGAGUGGGGAGCGAACAGGA
rnacentral:rRNA from 1 species